rnacentral:rRNA from 1 species
UACGUAGGGUGCGAGCGUUAAUCGGAAUUACUGGGCGUAAAGCGUGCGCAGGCGGUUUUGUAAGCCAGAUGUGAAAGCCCCGGGCUUAACCUGGGAAUGGCAUUUGGGACUGCAAGGCUUGAGUGCGGCAGAGGAGACUGGAAUUCCUGGUGUAGCAGUGAAAUGCGUAGAUAUCAGGAGGAACACCAAUUGCGAAGGCAGCUCGCUGGGACGUUACUGACGCUGAGACGCGAAAGCGUGGGGAGCAAACAGG